rnacentral:rRNA from 1 species
GACGAACCGUGCGAACGUUGUUCGGAUUCACUGGGCUUAAAGGGUGUGUAGGCGGUCUGUCAAGUCAGGGGUGAAAUCUUUCGGCUCAACCGGAAAACUGCCUUUGAUACUGGCAGGCUCGAGCGGGGUAGGGGUUGCGGGAACUACCAGUGGAGCGGUGAAAUGCGUAGAUAUCGUAAGGAAGACCAGUGGCGAAGGCGGGUCUCUGGACAGUUCCUGACGCUGAGGCACGAAGGCCAGGGGAGCAAACGGG